rnacentral:lncRNA from 1 species
UGAAUUAAUUAAUUACAUAGUUUUACUCUCUACUUUAUGAACAUUACGAAAUUUUGAGAUAAAAUUUUAAGAUGUCUACUAAAACAUGAUCUUCUUCACAAAAAUGCUUUUAACUUAAUUAAUCUAAAUUCAUUUAAAUCAUAUGAUGCCUUGAAACCAGAAAUCAGGGCUAAAACUUAUAACAUAAGAAGGAGCGUGUAUAUAUAUAGACAUACACUUGCAUACAGCCAUACACACAUAUUACAGAAAAAGUAAUAUAAGUACAACCAGUUUUUUUUUUUUUUUUUUUUCCCCCCUUUUUUUUUCCCUCCCGUCAGGUAAGUCACUUUUUUAUUUAAGAGAAAGACCAUGUUACAUAAACAAGAAUAACAAAACCAUAUGCGCCUUAUGAUAAAGUAUAAAAACAUGCGUGAUUAAUAUAAUUAAGCGACAAUAGUACUGUAAGGAUAUCUCAAAUCAAAACCUAGAGCUGGUUAUAAGUCAAUAUUGAUCUGGCCAUAAAAAUGCUCCCAUUGCGAAUGCUCUCUUUUCAUCAGGAGUCCCCUGGAAACAUAGGCCAUAUUCUCUGAGAAGCAUGUCAAGCUUCCAGUCCUCCAUCUUCUCAUAAUCAGCCUUCGAGUAUCGAGGAUAAUGAAGCGGCAGUUGAAACCCAGAAGCACAAGCUUCAACACUUUGUGAUAAUCCAUCGCUGACCUUUGAAUCUGAUGAGACUCCAUUUACUUGAACUUGGUGAUGAUGAUCGUUUUGGUAUCCCACAACACCGUUACACUCUAUUUUGUUGUCGUUUUGAUGCCCUAGUACAUGACAUGCUGUAUGAAGAACCCACCUCAGAGCCAUUCUCUCUCUCUUUUUGUUUACUCUCUUUCUGAAGCUUAAUUAAAGCUUUUGUGCAUUUAUAUAGACCCAUGAUAGUUAACGACAAAACUGCGUGAUUAGUGGUUUCACGAAUUAAGCAAAAAUGAAAAAGAAAAAAUGAUUGGCUUGCAAAAUUAAUUAUAUUAAUUAUGAUGAAAUAAUGCUUGCUUGUAUUAAUGGCCAUCUUGAAAUGGGUAUAUGGAAUGCGGAGAUAGGCCACUUAAAUUUUGGAGUGGUUAUUUGUCCACUUCCGUGUACGUGAAUAUGACAUUCUCUCUCGAUCAUUUCUCAUAAUAAUAAAAUACAUACAUACAUAAUUGAGUUGCGUGUUAGAGAAAGCAUUGGGAGUGGGCAUGGCCUCUUUCCCUUUCCCUUUCCCCUUCCCCUUAAUUAAUUUGCCUCUUCGACGUCAUAUUGGUUCAAUAAUCAAUAAUGUUGAGUGGCUUUCUACAUAAGAUUAAUUGAUUCUGAUUCUUGCAGAAUUGUACUCCUCAAUAUGGCUAAAAAGCAAAAUGUUAAAUGGGAACGGCCUUAAAAGCUGAUCAAGUGAAGAAAAAUUGAAUUAUUGAUUGGCCUUAUGUAUUUUUCAGGAUAAGAUAACUACCCAGGGGCAUGCAUAAUAAAUGCACGUAUUUCAUUAAAAUUAAUAAUGGGUUUGUUUCAACCACCCUUGAGGAUAAUGAUAAGGAGUGCUUUGGGAAUUUGAUUAAAUUGAGAUUUUUUUUGUUUUUUUAUUACAUCUGUGCUCUUAAAUUAAAUUAUGUGGCUGUCAUUGAUCAAACCAGGUACCCUGCUCUUGAAUCUUCUUGACAUAUAUAAUUAUUAUCAAAACUUGGAAAAUUAAAUGUACGUGCGGUCAAUUUUUGUUGGAUUGCUGUCGUUUUUUUGCCCAAGAUGUCAAACCCCUAAUUAAGAUGGCAACAAUUUGACCUCUUAAUCAGUAAUGGUGCGUUCACUAAUUGGAAUGGGUUGAAAUCGGAAUGACUUGAAAUCGAAAUGGGCUGAAAUGAGAAUCAUGAAUAGGAAUCAGAAUAACUUGUUUAUUUGAGCAGUAAGAUUUGGAAUCGGAAUUAGAUUCACUUCCAUUGAUUUGUUUACUUUGUCUUGAAAUUAGAAUAAAAUAUCAUAAUUUAUUAAAAUACCCUUUUGUUAAGUAUUGCUCUUGAUAUUGUGCUUGUUAUUAUUUAAUAAUAAUAAUAAUAACAACAACAACAAUAACAAUAACAACAACAAUAAUAAUAAUAUUUUAUAAAUAGACAAAUAAAUAAAUAAAUUGAAGUAAGAACAAUAAAGAUACAUAAAAUGCAUAUAUAAAUUCAGAACAAUUUUCAAUACAACAUAGGUUCCUACAACGAUGAUACAAAUAUAAAACAAAUAAAAAAGGAAAAAACACUUGGAAUAAUGGAGAAAGUCGCAUGUCAGAGACGAAUCUGAGAGAAACCGAUCAGCAACCAGCGACGAAUUAGACUGGUGAGUGACGCAAGAGAACCGGGUUGACGAAUCCAAGAGAAACCGAGCAGAAGUUGCUGGUCAGUGACGAGCUGAUGAUUCCGGCCAAUGAGCUAACAGGAAAGAAGAAAACAAGUGAUGAAUUCGGCCAGUGAGCUGAUGAAUCCAGAAAAUCAUGAUUACUUGGAAAGUAAAUGAUGUGUUUUUAUUGCAUUUUAGUUAUAUUUUGUAUAAACAUCUAUUUUAGUUUAUUUUUAAUCAAUUUUCUUUGAUUUAGAAUAAUUUGUGUGCUUAGAUCAUAUGCAUAAUUGUAGGUGACCGAAAGCUCAAAUUUCAAGAAAGCAAUGCUACUGCAAUAGGCCUGCAAAAAUAAGGAAAAAACUUGGUUACAGAAGAAUUGAAACAAAUUUGGAACAAUACAGUUGCUAUAGCCGUUGUUGUAGGAUCUGUUGCUGUAGCAGUCCUGGAGCAUUGACAAUGAAGAUAUGAAGAUUUCGCGCAAGAUACUUAAAUAAUUACGAUCUGAGGUUUCCUAAUCUGAAAGAUAUGUGCCCUAAACUUCCGUUUACCCUAAUUUUCAGCUAUAAAAGAAGCACACAAGCAAAUGAAAAAAGAAAGCUGUUAACCAAGGAGAAAAACCGAAAAAAAAGAGUAAAACAGAAUUAAAGAGCAGGAUUUAGGGCUGCAUCAGAGGAGAACACGCAGAGAUUAAUCGGGAAACCAAUCCCUCUUAUUCUUGUUUAUUCUUUAAUCAUGAGGAUGUAUUUGAUGGCUAAAACUCUGUUGUUUAUGUUUUUUUUUUUUACAAAUUAUUAACUAAAUUUAUUUGUGGUUGAGUAAUAAACAAUCUUGAUGGUUUAUUGACUGAAUAUAUGUGUUGCUGCAUAUUUGCUAUAGCAUUUUGUUUUGAUAGUAUUUAUUUUUAUUCAUUAUUUCGGCUGACCGCCCAUUUAAUGAUACAAGCUGGGAAAGAGCCACAAAAAAUCUAUCUUAGUGGAACAUAUCAUAGCAAUACUUGGUUUUAGAUUGGAUUUCCUGAGUUGAGUUUUACUUGAUUCCAAAUGGGUUAUGCUUAAUCUAAAAUUAGUGAUGAACUAGACAUGAAGAUUCAUUUUGUAGGGAAAUUAGAGCCUAAGCGUGUAAUGUUAUAUCUUAUGUUGGCAUAACGAUUGGUCACUGUUAGGUUGCAUAAAAGUAUAAGACAUCCAACAUGCGACAACUGAGGGUACAAUAGGAUUAUACCCAGUGCUGUAGCAGAUGUUGUAGCAACCAAGCCUAAAAUUAGAAGAAACGGUUACAACCAUUAGGUGAGUUGAAUCACUCAACUACUUCAUUUUCAUUGGUUUUAUCCUCGUGUUUGCUGUGAGAGUUUCCUUUAUUUUAUUUUAUUUAUUGCAUUUUUGUUAUUUUAUUAGUUUUAGUAGUUGUCUCAUUUUAAUUUGAAACAAUCUACACUGUUAAGAUUGUUGUAGCAAGUCUGAUAACAUCAAUCCCUGUGGAGACAGUCUUGAAUACUUAUCAUUAUAUUACUUGUUGUGUACACUUGCAUAUUGACGCCAAUAAUACAAGAAAAAGUUGCAACAGAGGGAGAUGAGAUGGAAACUUCUGGUUUGUGCAUGAGAGAGUGUGUGCUUGAAUCGUUUACUUUUUUUUUUAAUUUAUAUUUUUCAAUGGAAAUAAAGGAUAUUUUUGGAAAAUAAUAGGGGCGCUUUCAUCAUUGGGGGUAAUGGAGUUCUGAUUCCAACCUCCCUCCACUGGAAUCACAAUCCGGGUAAUCACUCCCCUUUUUGCGUGGGAACCACACGUAUGAUUCCCAUUCCUAAUUUCAACUUAACAAGUAAAUGAGUUUAUCAUUCUGAUUCCAUCAUUCUGAUUCCUAUUCCGGGAAUGUAAACACACCAGAAGAGUGAAGUGUAAACUAAUGGGCUCUCCGGCGGCCCAUUUUCCGCUUCCCCUCUGAUGUUUCAAAUCGGGCAAACUUCUUUUUACCCUCAAUCCCCCAUUAUUUGAUACCUGAAGUAUUAUGUAUUUUAAUUUAAUAAAUAAUUAUAAUUAUUUAGUUUUUGUUUUAAUAAUUUCUACCCUACUAUUUUUGUAAAUUCACCUCACUUUUAGAAAAAAUAAUUAUAAUAAGUUCUCAUUAUUCUUAAAAUCUGCAGGUCAACAAAUUUUUUUGACAAUUAAUAGGUUAAAUUAUUUUUAUGAUUUUUUUACUUAGGUACUUUUGAUCAUUAAGGUUGCUUUAACAUAAGUUUUAUUUGACUAUUUUACCCUAAUAAAUGAUAAUAUAAAAUGAACAAAUUACCCUAAAAAAUAUGAGCUCUUAUGGCUAAUACUUCAGUUCUUUUAUUUUAUUUUAUUUUAUUAAAUCUCCAAACUUCUUCUUUAUUUGCAUUUUGUAAAAAUAAUAGAAAAUUAUCAAUCAUCUACUUAAGUUUACAUCAUUAUACAAAAUACUAUAAAAGUUUGAAUUUAUUCAAUUUUGGACCCCAUAUAUGCAAGUUGUAUCAACCAUCCACUGGAAAGAAAUAAUUAUCCUUACAAAAUAACAAAACAAAAAUAAAUACAAAUUAUAUUGGUAUUUAUUUUACAAAGAAAUUCCAUCUUUUCAUGUACAAUUGAUCUACAUUGUAAAUAAUGGGUGAAAAAUCAAACAAAUUUAAUUUUUUAUAGUAAUUUUCAUAACUGUGUAAUUUCUGGAUUAAUGGUUGAUAAUUUUCUUUUGAUUAAAUCUCUAAACUUCUUUUUAUUUGCACUUUCUAAAAUUGAUGUGAACUUAUUGUAAUUAUUUCUUAGGAGGGGUAGAUUUACAAAAAUAAUGGAUGAAAAUAUUAUCACCUCAAUAAUAAACCAUAAAAUACGUUACCAUACUAAUAUUUGUCAUUAAUUUUUAGUUAUUACACGUUCCCUCUGGAUAUUUAAAAAAAAAAGUCAUAUAAAAUAAACCCUGUUGUUAGAUUGAAGAUUUCAAAACUAACGUUUUAUAGCCUUUUCCUAUUUUAUCCCUCAAUCGACAUAUUUAUCUUAUAAAUAAAUUAAUAAAAUAAAAACUAAAUAAAUUUAAUAUUGCAAAUUUUGUUGCAAUAAAAAUUGCAACUAACCCAUUAAAAAUAUUGCUGGCAACUAUACAACAUAAUAGAAACAUACACUAAUAAAACAUAAAAAUAUUCCUCUUUUCUUCAUUGAAAUAUCAAAAGCCUAAAGAAUAAAAUCUCACAAAAAAAUUAAAAAUAAUACAAGAAUUUCUGCAAACCUAAAAAUUACAAGUCACCAAGUCUACGAGCAGUCGAUAAAAAUUUGUAAUUUUUUAAAAUUCAUUAGUUUAUGUCAUGAUGGGUUAUGUUGAUUUAGGGACAAAAUAGUAAAAGAACUAUUUUAACAUAUUCAUUCUAACCGCUAGAGUUACAUGGUUAAUUGGUUAUGUUUAAAAUGUCAGGAGAUAAGUGGGCAAUGUUUCGAGAAAUAGAGAAGAAAGGGAGAGGUGAAGUUUCCCAGAAGGAUUUACCCUUAACAAGUACCAUCACCCUGCUGGAAUAAAGCUACCUAGUCCAAUAUAUGGAAAUUUACGAAUUAGCAUCAAGGAUGUGGCAUGUACAUUAUAAAGUAAAUUUUUAAUAAGGUGCCAGAAAUGUUGUUUGUAGUCAUGGUAGUGGUUUGAAGGAAGGCAGUCUUAGUGUAGCUCGGAUACCAUGUUUGAUAUCAGGUUUUAAAAAAUCCUUUAGUUUUCUCAUUGAGUUCACUGAAUAUAUACAAUACAGGAGAAGAAAUUGUUCAAGUGAAUUCUUAGAUUAAUGCCAACUAAUUCCUAGUAUCAUGUAUACAUCUGUAACUAAAAUAUACAUAAAAGAUCUUUACGAAUGAAAAAUAACAAAUGAAUAAGUAUCAAUGUUGACCAAGUGAAUUAGGCAUUUCUCCUCAGCUGUCUCCACUGUGUUUUGGAAUGCUCCUGCAGCACCAUGGCCUUGGAUUGAAAUCAACACAGAUGGCCUGGCUAAUUUGUACAAAAUCAAGGACCUGGUAGCCACAAUAAGCCAAGACAAUCUUGGUCACUUACAACGAGCUAACAGCAAGCACCAUAGGCAUCAGCCACAACCCCAAAAAAGAGGCUUUAGAGCUGCCCCUAUUCUAUCAACAGGUACACGGCUAACAUCAUGAUUCUUAAAUUUCAACAUUUCAACAUUUUGUUGUCCCUUUUUUUUAUUUUUAACUUAUUAGAUAAAGAAUUCACUUCGUUUCCUUUUUAUUUCAGGGUUAUGGAAUGGGUUUCCGACGAUAUGAACAAUGCAGUGAAUGAUGGAGACGGGGGAGAGGAUGAUGGAAGACCCAUUUCCUUAGUCAGGUACAUGGCCAAUCGAGACAGGGGGUGGAUAUAACUGCAGAGGAAGGACAAAAGAAGGGGUAAAUGGGUAAAGACAAAUUUGCUACAUCAAAUUUACAGAGUACUAACUAGACAUAAUUGUUCAUUUUCAAAAUCGCAGCUGUUGGAUUAAAGUAAUUAAAAUCUAAACGGUUGGCCUGGAUAUGAACAAAAAGUGGGGUCUGGAUCCAUCGUAUCAAAAAAUAAAAUUAAAAAAAUUGAAUUAAUAUUAAACUAUUAUCAUCAUACUUGUAAAAUUAUUAAGUUGCAGUGGCUUGUCUUUGUCCAUGUGGCCUGUUGACUGUUUUUCAUUGAAAUAUUAAUUAGCAUGGUACUGACGCUUUUGUUGUGUUAUAUAAAUAAGUGGAGAGAACUCCCCAGUACCUUCCCUUGGGUUCACGUCUCUUCCGAAUUAGAAUUUUAGAUUUGCUUUGCUGGCUGCACUUGCACUCCCGGCCUGGUGUGCUAUAGCAAGUGAGUAGUGACUAAUAAAUUUUCUUCCGCCCACAAAGCCACUAUAAAUAUAUUAAUUAUUUUCACUCCAUUUUCUACUUCUUGUCAUUUAUCGAUCGAUCAAAAGAUCAACUUCUUGUUUACUCCUGAAGGUUAUAUUCCGCCAUAUAAAUAAUUUUGAAUAAAUUUAUCAUACAUUUAUCAUCUCUCUCUCUCUCUCUCUCUCUCUCUAUAUAUAUAUAUAUAUAUAUAUNNNNNNNNNNNNNNNNNNNNNNNNNNNNNNNNNNNNNNNNNNNNNNNNNNNNNNNNNNNNNNNNNNNNNNNNNNNNNNNNNNNNNNNNNNNNNNNNNNNNNNNNNNNNNNNNNNNNNNNNNNNNNNNNNNNNNNNNNNNNNNNNNNNNNNNNNNNNNNNNNNNNNNNNNNNNNNNNNNNNNNNNNNNNNNNNNNNNNNNNNNNNNNNNNNNNNNNNNNNNNNNNNNNNNNNNNNNNNNNNNNNNNNNNNNNNNNNNNNNNNNNNNNNNNNNNNNNNNNNNNNNNNNNNNNNNNNNNNNNNNNNNNNNNNNNNNNNCAGUUUUUUUUAUGAACAGUUUUAUUAUGAAGUCAAAAUGCAUGGGGUUACAAUAUUCAUGUCGACAUUGACGUUAUAACAAAAUUAAAUUUGCAGGUGAGGUCCGAGCGCGCGCGCGCGCGUAUGAACGUAGUAGGAGGAGCCGAGGAGGAAGAGGUUGAGAAUCGAGAAUGGCACAAGAACUAGUGCAACGGAAAAGCGGAAUAUUGGCCUUUGGAGCCAAGGCUUUGGCUAUAGUACUUCUUCUGGCUACGUUCUGCGGUAGAUAUCAUUACAUGAUGAUGAUCUUAAUUUAAUUAAUUGGCUUAAAAACACAGUGUGUGUAUAUACAGACACUUUUCAUUUCAGAAUUUUAAAAUGCGGGAUAGUAUAGGAAAUCUUUAAAAUUGUGUUGUUUUAAAAUUUAAUUUCAUAAUGAUAAUAAACCUUAUGUUUUUAAAAUUUUCCUGAACUCCAGAACUUUAAAAUUCCAGCCUAUAUAAUACAAUUGUUGCGUAUCAGCAUGACUGAGAUAUUGCAUGCAUGGUUAAAAACUCAACAUUGGCAAUAAUUCGUUUUAUUAUUUGUAGAUAUAUACUUCAAUAUUAAUAUUCCAGCCACGGCUACUUGAUGCAACCGUUGCCUGCUUUGUUGCUCUAUCCCAAGGUGAAGGUCAAGGGACUAUGCAUCACAAAAGUCCAACUACUUAGCUGUAUCGUUUUACAGUAUUAUGCAAUUAAUAUCCCACCACAUAUAUUAUUAAUUAACGAAAAUUCCUGGAUAUAAUAUUGGUAGAUAGAUAUAACUAACUAUUAUAACAAUGUAAUUAAAAUCUUCAUUUAUUAAUUAUAGAAACCAUCAAACAGAGUGAUGCACACAUUACGUAUCGUUCAUAUUAAUGGAGGGUGUUUAAUUAGUUACGAGAUGAGCAUGCAUGCUUGCACGCAGGUGGAUGGAGGAGGGUUAGUUGUUUCCUUUAAUUUGUUCAGUGGAAGCCAGAAGCACUUGCAUCGAUUCUUUCAAAAUCCUUAAAUAUUUAGUGGUCUAAUUUAUGAGUACUUUAGGUUUAAUUUGUGGAAGCAGGUUUAGUUAUCGAGAUUUUGAAAUUAAUGACUAUUGAAUAAAUUAAAUAUGCAUGCAGUGGUGGUGGUGGUGGUGGAUAUAUUUGACGCGGAAGCGAAAGCUGUUGUGAGAGAUGCCGCCGGCAUUAAAAGAGUAGAGCUGCUCGUUUCCAAGGAAAACAGCACUGCCUUCAAUAUCAAUCGGAAGCUAUUGCGCUACUCUGCAGCUGCUGCAGGUAAUAUUAAUGCUGACAUUUCCCAUGAUGCAUUUAUGCAUCACUACGUAGCAUUAGCCUCCUGCAUGCACGCGCAUUCUUCAUUUGUUAGUGAAAUUAAUCUCAGUAUAACGAAUGGAUUAAAAACUAAACGCAGAUGGAAAUAGGAUUGGUACAGCAUGCUCAAAAGAUGACAUAGUGAUAUAUCAAGGGUCAACGGCUCCACUUCCAAAUGGAAUACCGGCGUACACAGUACAAAUCCUCAACACGUGCACAUGUGUGUCAGAGUCAGAGUCAGGUGGUUGCAGCAUCUGCAACAUUCAUGUGAAUUGCGGAUGGUUCAGCUCAGCCCGUCUCGUAAAUCCACAAGUGUUUAGGAGAAUUCACUACGACGAUUGCCUUGUCAAUGACGGGGAAGCUCUUCCUCCUGGACAAGCUCUCUCUUUUCAGUAUGCUAAUACUUUCCAAUACCCUUUGUCUGUCUCAUCUGUUGUUUGCUGCUCUGCCUAAACCACCACCUCUAUGCGUUUGCUUUAUAUUUUAUUUUUAUAUGCCUCGUUGUUAACUUGGUAUGAUAGGCUUAGCUAGCUGCUGUUCUUUUCUUUCUUUUUUUCGUUUUUAUUUUUAAUAAAUGUUACCUAUCUGAUUUGUCUUGUCGUCUAUAUGCAAUAAAUAUAAUGGCUUCCUUCGUGUUCAUGGACAGAAACGAGAUUUAACAUUUAACAAUGUGUACACACUAUUUCAUACCCAUAAAAUAAUAAUCGAUUAGCGGCUAUACGCACGAUGUGUGGCGUAAGAAUAAUAACCUGAUAGGCUGAGCCGAGGUAAGCGCGGUAGUGAAAUUUACGAACGGAUGAAAGGCCCAGGCCCAAACCCCAUGCACAAUGUGCUGCUGCUAGUGCUACCUCCUCAUUCAGUUAUUAAGGGCCCGUUUGGUACCGUUUUGCAAGUCAUGUUUUCGUUUUUAUUUUUAUAAUACACACAUAAAACAUGUUUGGUAGAUUUUUUUCACAAAACAAAUUACAAAACACAAAAUCCGGAUUUAUUAUUAUAACUAUACAACUGAAAAUAAGUUAAACAUGUUCUCUAAAUUUUACAAGCUAAACCUAAAAAUGAAUUAAAAAACAACAAAGAAAUCGUGACCCUGCAGCCCUCACUUUUCUUUUCACUGCAGCCCUCACUCUCAAUUCAGUUCACUGCAGCUCCCUCUUUCCCCUCAAUUUUCUCAAUCCAGUUGCAACAAAUCUCUCUCUUGGUCGCUCUUGGUGUGCUAGCCACUGCCGCUGCUCUUUCUCCGUUGUAACCGCUGCUGCUACUUCGUCUUUGCUCUCUCGGAUCUUUGCUCUCUCGGAUCUUCGUCUACUGCUACUUCGUUGUCACUUGCCGGUAUUUAUUUUGUUUAUGAGCUGAAAUUUUUGAGAGAUGAUUUGAGUGAUUUUUAAUUCUGGAAAUUUCUGAGGUUGUUCAUAUGUAGUGACAAAUUGUUUAUUUAUGAGCUGAAAUUUUUCCUCAUUUAUUUUAGAGAUUGUGAAAUCUCAAUUUGUGUUCAAAAAAUAAUAAUUCUAUUUCCAAGUUUGAUAAUGCAACCUAAAUUAAAAAAAAAAAUCCUUCACAGAUUUGUGCGAAAAGGAAGAAAAAGAAAUGCACGAGAAAAUAAUCAAAUUGUAACCGGCAAUUUGAUUUCAGAGUAGAAUUGAAUUCAUUUUUGCAUAAACUCCCAAAACCUAUUUUCAUAAUGCCAAAUCAUAAUCAAGAAGCUUCCUCUCAUACGAAAUUUUUAUAAUGAAUAAAUUUAUAUUGAUAUAUUAAUUCCAAAAGUAAUAAUUUUGUAUAAAUCACUUGAUGAAUUUGUGGGUCUUAAAUUGUCCUGGAAAAUAUACCCUUUAUGCUAGAGAUCUUUGAUAUUUCCACUAUUUUUUAUGAAGAAAAUAGACAUAAGAGUAUGAGAGGAAUCUUUAUUGGAUUAAAAUGGGUGUUUGAAGUAAAACAAAAAAUUUCAUUGAUGAGUGUUGUGAGAAAUUGAGUUUGUUGAGUAUUUUAAUGAAUUCAAAUAAACUUCACCUCGUACUCAAUAAUUCCACAUAUCUCAAAUGAUAUAACUAGAGUAUUGUAGAUUAAUCAUAUUGGGGGUUAUUACAUUACUGAAAAUUGAGUGGGGGAUUAAUAGCAUGUACUGAAAAUUGUAUGUUUAUAUCUAAAAAUUUAAUAGCAGUGUUUUUAAUUUGAUUAAUAUUUGAUAUAUGUUUUAUUUUUUAUUUUUUCGGGUACCAUUUAGUUUUUAAUGUAUGACAUGUUGCUGAAAUAUGUAUAUGUUAUGUUGAAUUUGAUCAUUAUUUGAUAUGUGUUAUUUUUUUUAAUUUUUCAAGAUAUGGAUGUGCAAGAUUUGGUUACCAACGAUGAAGGAGACACUAGUAAGCCACUUACUAAUAUUAAUUUAUCUCCAGCAAGUGUCGCAGAGAUGAAUGCAACAAGAGAUGAAAUUGCAGCUUUUAUGUGGCAUAAUUACAUACGUAAUGCAUAAUGUGUAUCAUGUAGUUUUUUUAUAAUUAUUUUGUUUAAAUCAUGUGUUGUAAUAUAUAUAUUAAUUAUAUAGUGUAAAAACAAUGACAAUGUCAAACUUCUUUUUAAUUAAUGUUAAUUCUUAAACUUUAUUAUCAUGUAAUUUUUUUAUAUUAAAUUUGGUUAAAUUAUUUUGUUGUAUUUGUGUGUAUUAGCUAAAUAAUUAUUUUAUGACUAUAAAUAUAAUGUAAAUGAUUAGUAAAAAUUAUUUUUGAAAAAAGCAUUACUAAAUGCAUAUUCUCUGUUUUUAUCAUUUUCAACUGUGUUUACCAAACGCAUAUUACUGUUUUCAGUUUUUAAAUAUAUGAUACAGAAAAUGAUACCAGACGCAUAUUUAAAUUCGAGAUACAGUAACUGCAAAACACCAUUUUCGUUUUCGUUUUUAUUCUCAGAAAAUACUGAUUCAAAAACAAUACCAAACAGCCCUAAUUAGCAUAAUGAUAAUAGUAAGGCAAUAAACGAAAACAACGCAUUCUUUUGAUAAUUGCAAACCAAAACUGCAAAACUACAGAUCUAUCGGACAGAAUACAUCGACGAAUGAAUGAAGAAGAUAAGGUUCUUUAUCCAUAAAAAUUAAAAUAGAAGAAAAUUGCUAGCUUAAAAUUGGAAUCGAACUAAAAAGUAACCAAAAAUCUUCCUUUAUUCAUGUCGAAAACUCAUACUAGACUCUCGAUCUAUGUAUGUGUAUGUUAUGAAAAAUGAAUCUAGUAUCCAUAAUCAUAACUAAAUUCAGUGACACCAACCAUAGCUGAAAGUACCUGGGAAAUAAUGAAGAUGGUGCCACCCAAUAUCACCAAAAGCAGAAUUGCAGAGAUGGGGUUCUUGAGCAACUCGAAAAUAGGCUGCAGGAUUGUGUAGAGAGCACCAGUACUCACCGUGAGAGCAUAAAGUGCAUACCUCCUUACAUUUUCCCAAAACUCUUCCACUAAUGGCCCUUGAGGACCAAAAGCCAUUGCCUUGGGGUCAUCCAUCCCCAUCAACAGCAACACAAAUCCUACAGAUAUAGCUCCAACUACCAAUACCCUUGAAUUCCCAUCUGUAAAAGCUUUCACUUGGCUGCUUUUUGGAGACCUCUCAAGAGCUUCUCCUUCUCCAGUCGAUUUGUCUGAAUGUGCAUGUGAUGCGCAUUCACGGAGUAGUGGACGUUUAAGUCUAAUAAGGUUACAUGGAUUGGUUUUGGUUUUGAUGGGCAUGGUGGUGAAAGUUGAAGGAUUUGCACUUGGGUUGGUGAGAUUGGUGCAUCUGAAUCUAAUUGGGAGGAAAUUUUGAGAUUUUAGCGCACUGGUUCUCAUUUUUUUUUUUCUUCCUUUUUUUGAGCUCGGAGAAUUAACAAUUAGUAUGUCAUCAACAACUCUAACACUGCCUAUCAGAUUGAGUUGGUGAUUGGAGCGAACUGGUGGUUGUGGCCUUUUUCUUGAUUUCUCACCUCACCUUAUCUUAUUAUUAUCUAAUUCAUAUUUAUACAUAUACACACUAUAUGCUGAAGCUGAACUGUAGAUUGUAAUUCAGAGAGGGUACAAAUCUACUGACCGUGGGCUUGCGCUGAGGGAGCCCAUCUACUGUCCAUCAUCUACAAGUACUCUAAUCUUGUGCUAUAAAUAAAGUUGUCGUUUUGAGUCUAAUGCAUUUGAAAAAGAAAAAUGAUACAUGAGUGGAUUACAAAUAUAACAUACGUACAUACAUAUCCUCUCGGUCAAAAUAAUUUCACCACCAAUGAAUAAAUACAUUUU